UACGUAGGUGACCAGCGUUGUCCGGAUUUACUGGGCGUAAAGAGCGCGCAGGCGGUCGAUCAAGUCGAGUGUGAAAGCCCCCGGCUCAACUGGGGAGGGUCAUUCGAUACUGAUCGACUCGAAGGCAGGAGAGGGUAGUGGAAUUCCCGGUGUAGUGGUGAAAUGCGUAGAUAUCGGGAGGAACACCAGUGGCGAAGGCGACUACCUGGCCUGUUCUUGACGCUGAGGCGCGAAAGCUAGGGGAGCAAACAGGG
rnacentral:rRNA from 1 species